AGGUAGGGGUCAUUCUACCAGCUUGCAAAGUGCUGUGAUCUGUGCCAGCAAAGUGUUCAGGUCCAAAGCUGUACUACACUGCUCUGGCUGUCAUGAUCCAGUGUGGCUAUGCAUCAGGUCUCUGCACACCUCCUCUGUGCCAAU